rnacentral:siRNA from 1 species
CUUUUUUAUUGACUUUCUGACCA